rnacentral:lncRNA from 1 species
CCUCUAACUGUACCCUCACUCUCCACUUCCUUGGCAGAAGUAUUUAGAAGUUCAAAGCUGUGCUAUGAGAGGAACAAACCAAACUUUCUGAAGGACAGACUACCUUGCUCUAACAGCAUCUAACCAUACAGGUGACUCACCCAGGAUGCUACCCAUGAAGCAAUAAAGGAUUCUGAAGACUUCCUGUAUCAUGGAUAGUAGAGGAGAAAGAACCCUGGAGUUUCAAGUUCCUUGGUCUUGGUUCAAAUUCCAGUGUUUCCCCUUGCUCUUAAUAUAUCUUUAGACAAAUAACAAUCUCUAUGAACCUAUUUCUCCAUCUCUAAAAUGAAGGGGUUGGAUUACAUGGCCUAUAUGUUCCCAUCAAAUUUUAAAUGUAGAUGAAGUCCAGAGAGUGAAAGCCUAUAAGUUCUCAUCUGACUCUUGAUCUGUAGGACCUACAAGGGACAGAGAGCAUAAGUGAUGUGCUCAAGGUCACACAAAUGGAAAAAGCAUAUAAGAUUUGAGCAUAUUGUCAGUGGCACAGUGACAGCACUGGGGGAGUACCAGGUUCACCCUCAGACAUACCUGUUCACUAAGCUGAAAUAGAAUCUUGAUUUCACACCAUAAAGUGAAGAAGAGGAGGGAGGAAGAGAAGGGCAGUGAAAGUGACCUGCUCAUGGUCAUAAGGCAAGUUAAUAGCAAGCCAAGGAAUUACUGCAGGACCUGAAAGAUCUGAUCUGAGUCUGCUGCUCCCAGGUGACUCUCUGCAGUAAUCACAAAAUAAAAUCCUGGGAUCAGAGGCCA